rnacentral:rRNA from 1 species
AGUCACUGACAUUAGAUACCCGUGUAGUCCAGGGUGUAAACGCUGCAGACUUGGUGUUGGAAGUCCUUUGGGGCAUUCAGUGCCGGAGAGAAGUUGUUAAGUCUGCUACUUGGGGAGUACGUCCGCAAGGAUGAAACUUAAAGGAAUUGGCGGGGGAGCACCGCAACGGGAGGAGCGUGCGGUUUAAUUGGAUUCAACACCGUAAACUCACCAGGGAAGACUGUUACAUGAAAGCCGAGAUGAAGACUCUGCUAGAUUUUCAG